rnacentral:ncRNA from 2 species
AAUUUCCUUCGGGGCAGGGUGAAAUUCCCUACCGGCGGUGAUGAGGGCUUGUCCCCUCUCAGUCCGUGACCCGGUUUCUUUAUUGAAAACGGUGGAUUUGGUGAAAUUCCAAAGCCGACAGUAUAGUCUGGAUGGGAGAAGGAAUGA